UCUCGCAAAUAUUUAAUCUAGAAUGUAUUAUGCAUGCAGCUUUAUAUUUAAACGUUUAUUUUAUCUGCUAUAGUCUGACUUCUUUCUUCUUCCACCCAGGCAUCAGAAUCUGAAUGGGUGGAAGUUUCAGAGGAUGAUGAUGAUGAUGAAGAAAAUGAAGAUGAUGAUGACGAUGAUGAAUCUAAUAGCGAUGGUACAAGUGAGGAGAAUGAAGAUGAUGAUGAUGAUGAUGGUGAUGAUGAUGAUGAAGAAAAUGAAGAUGAUGAUGACGAUGAUGAAUCUAAUAGCGAUGGUACAAGUGAGGAGAAUGAAGAUGAUGAUGAUGAUGAGGAGGAGGAGGUGCCCAUUCUAAUCUCAAAACUCAAAAAUAAAAAUGAGCGAACUAAAACCCCGUUUUACAUUUAUGUAACAGUGAGAACCUAGAGAGAAUCCCUUUUUUCUAUAGGAAAGGAAACAUUAAUGAGUCAUACCUCAUGCAAGUUAUGGUCAAGUUGCCAUCCCUUAUUUAGACUUAGAUGCGGGGAACAAAUCAUUCAUUUGGUGUGGCUCCAAUUCAGGUUCAAAUAUUUG
rnacentral:lncRNA from 1 species